rnacentral:lncRNA from 1 species
GCUGGUCUUGAGGUGGGAAUCCUGCUGUGGGCAGCAGGCAGCCCGGCCAAAGAGGAAACAGCUGAAGGAUCUGGAGCUAUCCCGAAGCUCCAUGCUCUGAUACCUAAGAACUCUGUCCUUCCCCAAGAGAGAAACCUGGAGGAAGAUCCAUCAGCCUUGAACUCCUGAAAGUCAUGCUGCUCGUGAGUUUUAAAAUUAUGUAAAAAUUUGUUAUCCUGAAACUUCCCACCUGGAUUCCAUGAGUUAAUCUGGUCCCCUGAGAUCUGUUUAUGGUGUAAAAGACAUUUUCUCUGACAAAUGUGAUUUGUUAAUUCUGUAGAGAGGUUUUCCUAGCAGACCUUCAUGUCCCUUCGUGAAGUGGGAACAUCUUUGUAGGAACUAAAAUUUGAAAGGAGAGAGUGACCACACAGGAAAACAGGGAGGUGGUGUUGGUUACCAUUUCAGCCCUUGGGAAGACUAUUUCAUGGCCCUGCCUUGGAAGAGAUGGAUGUUUGGGUGCAAUGGAGAUCUAGCUGGGAAUUAAGAUCUAAUCUGAGGUUACGCCAAUUGUCUUAGUUAGGGUUUUAUUGCUGUGAAGAGACACCAUGACCAUGGCAAUGCUUGUAAAAGACAACCCCUUAAUUGGGGCUGGCUGACAGUUUCAUAGUAGUUCUUUAUCAUCAUGGCAGGAAGCAUAGUGUGUUCAGACAAACAUGGUGCUGGAGAAGGACCUGAGAGGUCUACAUCUUGAUCCUCAGGAAGAGAACUGGCUUGAGCGUCUGAGACCUAAAAGCCUACCUCCUACUCACACAUCUUCUUCAACAAAGCCACGCCUACUUCAAGACCACACCUCCUAAUAGUGCCACUCCCUAUGGGCAUAUGGGGGCCAUUUUCUUUCAAACCACCACUAAGCAUUUGGGUCUUUCUCCACUAGCUCCUUCACUUUUAGCACAAGAGAAACACAGAGCUGGGGGUUAUAGGAAUUGCAAGUGAGACUCUCAGCCUGACAGGUUGGUGGGUGAAUUCUUGAAGCUUGGAAGGGCUUUGGAGAUUGGAUUUCUACUUUGGUCCAAAAUAUGAGGAUGUUUAGUCAUUCUUUUCACUUAGGAGAUUGUUUAGUCCAGAAAAACAUAAUGGAGAGAAACCCAGUCUC